ACAUGCCUACAACAUAGCGUUAAUGCACCGGAUCCCAUUAGAACUUCGUAGCUAAGCAUGCUCAGGCUAGAGUAGUACUAGGAUGGGUGACCUCCCGGGAAUUCCUAGUGUUUUACAUGCC
rnacentral:rRNA from 1 species